GUUAUUAUUGUUCUAGCAAAUAUCAGUUGUCAAUUGUUUCUGAAAUUAUAUUAUAGGACUGGGGUUUUAAGAAAAAAUUUGAUAAAAAAAAAAAUCAACAAUGAAUGAAGAGCAAAAAUCAAAAGAUAUAAUGCCAGCUGCAGUGCUGCAAAGACUUGAAAUUGGUCAAAGUUUCUCUCAAGCCAUUGAAUGCAAAGAUACAUAAAGAUCUGAAGUAGGAGAAAAUAUCAGAAGCAGAAGUAAUUAGAAAUUUGAAUAUAGAAGCCGACAACAAUCAACAACUCAAUGCUGCAACAAUUGAAUAGCUUACAGUCCCAUUUGCAUACAUAUAGUGUUUUAGUUUUUUAAACAUUUAACUUUUCCAGCUGAACUGCUAC